rnacentral:lncRNA from 1 species
CCCGCUGAGGACCGAGCUCCUGGAUAAGUGGGCUGGCAGAUAAUAACAGCAUGCGGAUGAGAUACCAUCCUUGCGGUUCUCCUGCCUCCACCAAGACCUGCCCUGUCUGUGGUCACUUCAAGUCUUCUGAUGGGCUGCGCUCAGAUCUUGAGAAAUGGCCACCCUGGGGUAAAAGGGACCAUGAAUCAGGAGGUCCAGAUUUCUUUUCUUUUUCAACACUGGGGCUAACAUGUAGACGAUGCCACAGUCAUCAUCUUCUAAUAAAAUUAGAUAAAUAUAAGACAAAUAAAUUCUUACCUUAAAAAAAAAAACCCUCCCCUCCACAGGAGAUCCCGAUUUAGUCCCUUCCCUGUGUGCACUAGACGUGAGCCUGAGGGUGGAUUUUACCAUCUGGGGACAGAGCAAGAACAGAAGGGGGAAAAAGGUGCAGGGGACAAGACGCACAGUCUGUAGAGCUUGUACUGUCUCACUCAAAUUAAUGAGAAAGAGUGAACAGAAUGAGAAAAUAGGCACAACAUGCUUAUGAUAUUUAUGCAAAUUUGACAUUUUUUUGUGUGCUGCAUCUGACAACCCAUUGUGAAAUGUGAAAAAGAGUAUUGGCUGUAGCUCUAAUAUCUGAUUGUUUCAUGUUCUAGCUGUCAUAGGCAAGAAACUUAGUGGAUUAUUUCAGAGAGGGAGAGGUGAAGAGAACCAAGUGGUAUUUUUUUUCCCCCAGGCAGUCACUAAGUAACUGUUUGUUCUCUUCUCAGACUGUGUCUGCUUACAGGGUAUUGGAAUUGGCUAAUUCUGUCUUGGAAAAAGGAGCAGCAGUCAAGGCUCAAUCAAAUUAUAACUGCUGCUAGACCAGACAGUCCCAAGUGGACAAAGAAAUAGAUCACAUUUUGGGUUGUGCUUAAUUUCAGAUAUUCAUUUUCACUUGAACAAAUAAUU